rnacentral:rRNA from 1 species
UUGGUCCUACGGGAGGCAGCAGUGGGGGAUAUUGCACAAUGGGGGAAACCCUGAUGCAGCGACGCCGCGUGAGUGAAGAAGUAUUUCGGUAUGUAAAGCUCUAUCGGCAGGGAAGAAAAAGCGCGCGAGCGCCCUUGACAGUACCUGACUAAGAAGCCCCGGCUAACUACGUGCCUGCAGCCGCGGUAAUACGUAGGGGGCAAGCGUUAUCCGGAUUUACUGGGUGUAAAGGGAGCGCAGGCGGCAUGGCAAGUCUGAUGUGAAAACCCGGGGCCCAACCCCGGGAGUGCAUUGGAAACUGCCAG